AAUUUUAAAAUUAUGAUUGAACGUGCAUUCCUCACUGUCAAGAUUUACAAUUAAAAGGCAACUACAUAACAGGCAGCCCCAUUGUAACUCCUACCACAUUGAUGUUCAUCAUUUCAAUAUUAUUAUUGCAUUGCAACCCGAAAAGAAAGAACACAAAAGCCGAACAUAAGUUCAACUGAAAACCAUUCAAUAUUCCUAUAUUAUGGGCCCUUAGCCCAUUAUUAAAAAAGUAAAAAAAUAAUAAGGAAAUACGAAAAACUACAAAAUUCAGUGCAGACUGGCGAAAAUACGAUCAAGCCGCAUUCUAGUACAUGACUGUGUUCUCUAGCCAAAUGAUCACAAUAGGGCCAUGGUGAGGUCUACAAUUAUGGGUGGUCAUCUCUACCUUCUCAAUGCAUAUCACUAUCCUUGCUCUAAAUUCUUCUUCUCUUAGACCUGGAUUUAAUCAAUGUUGCCAUAACUUGACGUAAUGGUUCCAUUACUUUCUUUGUUAUUUCCUUAGUCAUCAGGACUCAUAGUCCUUGAAGUUCUUAGAGCUACUUAUCCUUGUUCAUGCCCACAUCAUACUCUCAUUCUUGAAGUGGAUAUGUCCUCAAAUUUGAUCUUCCUCACCUGCACCAAAAGAAUUUAAGUCAAUUACAUGAAAGGUUGUACUUACAUUAUACUAAUCAGGAAGAUUUAUUUUGUCGGUUUUUUAUUGAUCAUGUUGCACUACUUUGAAAGGCCCAUCUCCCCUAGGUUGUAUAUCUUAGACUUCAUAUUUGUUGGGAAUCUUAUCCUUCUCAUGUGUAUUCACACUCAAUCUCCAUGUUCAAAUGCCAUUUUCCUUAUCCCUUUGUUUGAUUGUUU
rnacentral:lncRNA from 1 species